UCUUCACUAAACUGCGAACUGAGAUCAUAAUGGAGCGAUCCCAGCCACAGCUCGGCGGGUUCAUUAUAGCAUUCACAUCGCAGCACUUCGGAGUUUAGUGAAUCAGGAGCUGCUGGCGUGAGCGCAGCGUGUUGCGCAGAGUUUAGCUGGCAGACAGGAUGACGUGUGAAUUUUUCCUGCUCUCGUCCCUGUGGUUCAUUGUUGUGAUAUUUUGGAUGGAGACUAUCAGCAUGUGGCUCUUCCUCUGCCAUCUAUUCCAGGAUCGCGCCCUGCAUCAGUGGGUGGAGAGGAUUUACAUUGCUCACCCUGACCAGAUAAUGUACGUAAUAAUCAGGGUCGACUCGUUAUGGUAGCCAGAAAAUGACCGUCGCAGUCUGGAUCACUACACGGAUUGUGAACGCCGAGCCAGUGGACUACAUUCAACAAAGGAUGAAGAAGGGACAAAAUGAUGUUUUAAAACAGUCAGUAUUUUAGACUUUUUUUUUUUUAUUUGACUGUAAAAAAAUAAUUAAAUCUAUAUUUGGAUGUGGAUACGGUUUCCAGCGAGGACAGUAUUUUAUUAUACUAAAAGGGAAGCAUGGCUCGAGCUGAUGUGUGCCUACCAUGGACCUGCUAACCAAUAUUGUCAUCCAUAGAGGCAGCAUGGUGCAGCCAGCUGACCAAUCCCAAUGCAAUGCCAUUGUCUAAGGACACUCUAGAACUCAUUUGGUGCCAAACUUUGUCUUGCUGAUCAUUUUCACAUGCUAUUGUAAUUUAGCAUUUUCCAAAUGAAAAUCUGCUUAUUCUUUUUAUAGAUCACGUUUUUGAUUUCCUGUUAUUUUCACAAAUAUUUUGAAAAUAAAUAUUUUCAGGUUAAGUUGUUUGUUUUUUUGUUAUGUACCCACCUCAAAUAUUUAUAAUGUGUGCGCAAACUUAGUAUUAAUCGGGAUGGGCUCACCGAAUGGA